GCAUGUCCAUGGCUGGUUGUUUCAGCUGAGCUUUUUCUUCAUUUUUCAUCUUUUUGUGGAUAUUCACAAAAUAACAUGACACUUCCACUAGUAGAUAUUGCCACAGAUUUUCAAGAAUAAAUUCCAUUAAUUGUAUGUGCAUGCAUGCAAGCCAAAUACAUAUUAUACAUGAACAAAAGCUCUAUGUAGAUAUUGCAUUCCCCUUUGAACCUCCUAAGUCCUAACACCAAGCAAGUGACUUUGUACCUUUUCAUAACAUCGUUAAAUGAUUGCUAUUCACAUAUAGAUUGACAGGCAUCACACCUAGAAGUGAUCCCCAUAACUAUAAUAUCAAAAGAGGAAUGUAAAUAACAUAAAAAUAAAUAAAUAAAAUGAAAAUUUUAAGCAAAAGAAUCUAUUACUGAUCUAGAGGCUCCAGAAAAGCCUACUUGACAUGCCAUCCAUUCUUUAACUUCAAACUAUUUGGAUGGUCAAAAUGACAGCCUCCCCUUAAAAAAAAUGCGAAUGUAUUUGACACACACACACACUGAAACAAAAAUGGGGAUCAUGAGAAUGGCACAUAUUAACUAAACGACAAAAAUAUAUAUUCCAGCUUUCAGUAUGUUCCCUAUUGGCUAUUACAUCACUUCUUCUAGUUUGUCCAACUCUUCCUUUAUAGCAUCUUCAGGCUUUGAGAUUUCUCUCUGUUUGUAUUCUUAUAAUUAAGAAAUAGGUGGCAAAGUUGGCCGAUAGAGAGGUUGUGGUGAAGGACAUUCAACAGCUUACAAAUGUUUGGGUUUGACAGGUGGACAUAUGUCCUGGUGGAGCCUUGAUCCCUAGUAACCAUUGCCCCUAAGUUCUUUAUGAACAAUAGCUUGGAUAACAGGCAGCUAACUCUGAAUCUUGUACUUUUUUCUUCUUGUGCUGCUUUGGUUUCAAUGUGCGAAAAAAGAAUGGCAAGACAAAGCUUUUUGUUGGUGUUUUAAACAGAAGUAGAAAUCAUGUGCUGGAAAGCAAGUAAACAUCGACACUGGAAGCUCUCACUGCCAAAGGAUUGUUCAGUUUAAUUAUAUCAGUUUACUGAUAAGCUGAUAUGGCCUCAUACAACUCCUAAACAUGGUGAGUGAAACUAUAUCUUAUGCUAUGAGGAAGAGGAAAAAUUGGAUCAUUUAUUCCUGAAGUGUAGUCUUUCUUGGGCUGUAUGGUUUUGCUCAGGUUAGACCCUUAGAACUUUGUGCAUUUAUCCUUGCUCUUUGAAGCAGUUGUUGACUUAGUGAAUGGAGGAUCUACAUUUUCAAUAGCAGGAAUAUGUGAUGUUCUCUAGAUUGUCAUAUCAUAAAUCUGUUGGCCUAGUGGUACAACCUCAACAAAGUGAUGUUUGAGGGAGCAAAACAGGCUGGCUUAUGAAUUGUUAAUGCUCAGUAAAGCCUUUUUUUCCAGGUAUGCACAAGCCUAUCGUGCACAUUUGGAUCAGAGUAACUGUAGGAGAGUACCGAGGCAAGUGUGUCCAGUUGUGGAGGGAUAGCUGGUGUUGCUGACAGUUAAGCAACACUGGCAAAGACGGUGCAGAUGGAGUGGUUUUGCCUAAAUCAUGUGCUGGCAGGAAGAUUUUGAAGGUGUUGCAGUUCUGCCAUAUGCAGCUGAGUAGCUGCUAGAAGCCUAGCUGUUUUGUUUGCAUCAUUCAUCUCUUAUAACAUUAAAGAAAUUUCCAGUAGAACUUGGCUUGGAUAGGGUGAUGAUUGUUGAUCACAAAGUGUUUCAAUUCAAAAGAAUCUAGAAGAAAACUUCUGCAAGCAUAUUUUCUUGUUAACCACAGAAAGAAGUAUGCCCUACUGAAUUUCUAAUUUGCUAUGCCUAAAAGAAAGUGUAUGAAACAGCAUGGCAUUUCUUUUUUUGUUUCCUUCUUUU